AUAUUUUCUUUCAACUAACACAAAACAUCUGUCUUUUGCGAUAUGUCGCAGCCUUUUGUGGUGUGUUUGU